GAAAUGCGAUAAGUAAUGUGAAUUGCAGAAUUCAGUGAAUCAUCGAACCUUUGAACGCACCUUGCGCUCCUUGGUAUUCCUUGGAGCAUGCCUGUUUGAGUAUCAUGAAAUCUUCAAAGUAAAUCUUUUGUUAACUCAAUUGGUUUCUACUUUGGUAUUGGAGGUCUUUGCAGCUUCACACCUGCUCCUCUUUGUUCAUUAGCUGGAUCUCAGUGUUAUGCUUGGUUCCACUCGGCGUGAUAAGUUAUCUAUCGCUGAGGACACUGUAAAAGGUGGCCAAGGUAAAUGCAGAUGAACCGCUUCUAAUAGUCCAUUGACUUGGACAAUACUUUUAUGAUCUGAUCUCAAAUCAGGUAGGACUACCCGCUGAACUUAAGC
rnacentral:misc_RNA from 1 species